rnacentral:rRNA from 1 species
UACGGAGGAUGCAAGCGUUAUCCGGAAUGAUUGGGCGUAAAGGGUCCGCAGGUGGCAGUGUAAGUCUGCUGUCAAAGAAUGAGGCUUAACCUCAUCAAGGCAGUGGAAACUACACAGCUAGAGUACGGUCGGGGUAGAAGGAAUUCCUGGUGUAGCGGUGAAAUGCGUAGAUAUUGGGAAGAACACCGGUGGCGAAAGCGCCUUGCUGGACCUGCACUGACACUGAGGGACGAAAGCUAGGGGAGCGAAAGGG